GGGGGGUCGCCCAGGGUUUGGAAUUCCUGCCCACCAAGGUUGAAUUCCUGCCCACCAGGUUUGAAUUCCUGCCUCCCCAGGAUUUUUCCGGCCUGCGGUAUAUAACUACGCGAAAAUGUAGCUCAGGGAAGGCAGAAUAAGACGCAGGACUAUCAGUUAGUUGGUAGUGUAAUGGACUACCAAGACAGUGACGGUUGACGGGAAAUUAGGGUUUUGUACCGGAGAGGGAGCCUGAGAGAUUGCUCCCACGUCCAAGGACGGCAGCAGGCGCGAAAAUUGCCCACUCUUUGCAGGAGGCAGUUAUGAGACGUGAAGAUGAGUAUCUUGUAAAGAGGGAUAGGAGAAUUGGAGGGCAAGUUUGGUGCCAGCAGCCGCGGUAAUACCGACUCCAAGAGUGUGUAUGAGAGAUGCUGCAGUUAAAAAGUCCGUAGUCAUAGAAGGGCAAAGAGAGAUGCGAGGUCUCACAGUGCGAUGAUGGAGGAGCCGAUGGGGAACAUAGUAUACCAGGGCGAGAGAUGAAAUGCCAAGACCCCUGGUGGACUGAGCGAGGCGAAGGCGAUGUUCUUGUAGGCAUUCGGUGAUCAAGGACGAAGGCUGGAGUAUCGAAAGUGAUUAGAUACCGCAGUAGUUCCAGCAGUAAAAGAUGCCGACAUGCUCAUUGGACACAGUGGGCAGGCAGAAAUCUUACAGUUCGGACUCUGGGGAUAGUAUGCUCGCAAGGGUGAAAAUUAAAGAAAUUGACGGACCUACACCACAAGGGAGUGGAUUGUGCGGCUUAAUUUGACUCAGCGCGAGGAAACUUACCAGGAGCGAGGGAUUGUGUGAGAGACGAGGAAUACGGGAAGGGGGGCUUGGUCUUUGGAAGUUGUUGGGUGACGUUGGCCCUAAAUUGUUUGAGGAAC
rnacentral:rRNA from 1 species